rnacentral:rRNA from 1 species
CACGUAGGGUGCGAGCGUUGUCCGGAAUUAUUGGGCGUAAAGAGCUCGUAGGCGGUGUGUCACGUCGGCCGUGAAAACCUGCAGCUUAACUGUGGGCGUGCGGUCGAUACGGGCAUCACUGGAGUUCGGCAGGGGAGACUGGAAUUCCUGGUGUAGCGGUGAAAUGACGCAGAUAUCAGGAGGAACACCGGUGGCGAAGGCGGGUCUCUGGGCCGAUACUGACGCUGAGGAGCGAAAGCGUGGGGAGCAAACAGG